rnacentral:rRNA from 1 species
UACAGAGGGGGCAAGCGUUAUUCGGAAUUAUUGGGCGUAAAGAGCGUGUAGGCGGCCAAGCAGGUCCGCUGUGAAAACUCGAGGCUCAACCUCGAGACGUCGGUGGAAACCGUUUGGCUAGAGUCCGGAAGAGGAGAGUGGAAUUCCCGGUGUAGCGGUGAAAUGCGCAGAUAUCGGGAAGAACACCCGUGGCGAAGGCGGGUUGCUGGGCCGACACUGACGCUGAGGCGCGAAAGCCAGGGGAGCGAACGGG